GUGACGAGCGGCGGACGGGUGAGUAAUGUCUGGGAAACUGCCUGAUGGAGGGGGAUAACUACUGGAAACGGUAGCUAAUACCGCAUAAUGUCGCAAGACCAAAGUGGGGGACCUUCGGGCCUCAUGCCAUCAGAUGUGCCCAGAUGGGAUUAGCUAGUAGGUGGGGUAACGGCUCACCUAGGCGACGAUCCCUAGCUGGUCUGAGAGGAUGACCAGCCACACUGGAACUGAGACACGGUCCAGACUCCUACGGGAGGCAGCAGUGGGGAAUAUUGCACAAUGGGCGCAAGCCUGAUGCAGCCAUGCCGCGUGUGUGAAGAAGGCCUUCGGGUUGUAAAGCACUUUCAGCGGGGAGGAAGGCGAUAAGGUUAAUAACCUUGUCGAUUGACGUUACCCGCAGAAGAAGCACCGGCUAACUCCGUGCCAGCAGCCGCGGUAAUACGGAGGGUGCAAGCGUUAAUCGGAAUUACUGGGCGUAAAGCGCACGCAGGCGGUCUGUCAAGUCGGAUGUGAAAUCCCCGGGCUCAACCUGGGAACUGCAUUCGAAACUGGCAGGCUAGAGUCUUGUAGAGGGGGGUAGAAUUCCAGGUGUAGCGGUGAAAUGCGUAGAGAUCUGGAGGAAUACCGGUGGCGAAGGCGGCCCCCUGGACAAAGACUGACGCUCAGGUGCGAAAGCGUGGGGAGCAAACAGGAUUAGAUANCCUGGUAGUCCACGCCGUAAACGAUGUCGAUUUGG
rnacentral:rRNA from 1 species